AACGAGCGCUGGCGGCAGGCUUAACACAUGCAAGUCGAACGGGUGUAGCAAUACAUCAGUGGCAGACGGGUGAGUAACACGUGGGAACCUUCCUAGGGGUACGGAACAACUCAGGGAAACCUGAGCUAAUACCGUAUACGUCCGUGAGGAGAAAGAUUUAUCGCCCUUAGACGGGCCCGCGUCGGAUUAGGUAGUUGGUGGGGUAAUGGCCUACCAAGCCUACGAUCCGUAGCUGAUCUUAGAGGAUGAUCAGCCACACUGGGACUGAGACACGGCCCAGACUCCUACGGGAGGCAGCAGUGGGGAAUCUUGGACAAUGGGCGCAAGCCUGAUCCAGCCAUGCCGCGUGAGUGAAGAAGGUCUUCGGAUUGUAAAGCUCUUUUGCCAGGGACGAUAAUGACGGUACCUGGAGAAUAAGCCCCGGCAAACUUCGUGCCAGCCGCCGCGGUAAAAC
rnacentral:rRNA from 1 species